GGGAGGUUCCUGGCCGAGAGAGUUGAACACACAGCCGCGAUGGUGGAUCCUGCAUCCGUCGUAACAAGUAGCUGGAAUGUUUGGAACUGGCUCAUGACGAACGCUGGCGGCGUGCUUAACACAUGCAAGUCGAACGAUGAAGCCCUUCGGGGUGGAUUAGUGGCGAACGGGUGAGUAACACGUGGGCAAUCUGCCCUUCACUCUGGGACAAGCCCUGGAAACGGGGUCUAAUACCGGAUAACACCGGCUUCCGCAUGGAAGCUGGUUAAAAGCUCCGGCGGUGAAGGAUGAGCCCGCGGCCUAUCAGCUUGUUGGUGGGGUAAUGGCCUACCAAGGCGACGACGGGUAGCCGGCCUGAGAGGGCGACCGGCCACACUGGGACUGAGACACGGCCCAGACUCCUACGGGAGGCAGCAGUGGGGAAUAUGGGUGCACAAUGGGCGAAAGCCUGAUGCAGCGACGCCGCGUGAGGGAUGACGGCCUUCGGGUUGUAAACCUCUUUCAGCAGGGAAGAAGCGAAAGUGACGGUACCUGCAGAAGAAGCGCCGGCUAACUACGUGCCAGCAGCCGCGGUAAUACGUAGGGCGCAAGCGUUGUCCGGAAUUAUUGGGCGUAAAGAGCUCGUAGGCGGCUUGUCACGUCGGGUGUGAAAGCCCGGGGCUUAACCCCGGGUCUGCAUCCGAUACGGGCAGGCUAGAGUGUGGUAGGGGAGAUCGGAAUUCCUGGUGUAGCGGUGAAAUGCGCAGAUAUCAGGAGGAACACCGGUGGCGAAGGCGGAUCUCUGGGCCAUUACUGACGCUGAGCCGAGUCGAUAAGCGUGGGGAGCGAACAGGAUUAGAUACCCUGGUAGUCCACGCCGUAAACGUUGGGAACUAGGUGUUGGCGACAUUCCACGUCGUCGGUGCCGCAGCUAACGCAUUAAGUUCCCCGCCUGGGGAGUACGGCCGCAAGGCUAAAACUCAAAGGAAUUGACGGGGGCCCGCACAAGCAGCGGAGCAUGUGGCUUAAUUCGACGCAACGCGAAGAACCUUACCAAGGCUUGACAUAUACCGGAAAGCAUUAGAGAUAGUGCCCCCCUUGUGGUCGGUAUACAGGUGGUGCAUGGCUGUCGUCAGCUCGUGUCGUGAGAUGUUGGGUUAAGUCCCGCAACGAGCGCAACCCUUGUCCUGUGUUGCCAGCAUGCCCUUCGGGGUGAUGGGGACUCACAGGAGACCGCCGGGGUCAACUCGGAGGAAGGUGGGGACGACGUCAAGUCAUCAUGCCCCUUAUGUCUUGGCUGCACACGUGCUACAAUGGCCCGGUACAAAGAGCUGCGAUGCCGUGAGGCGGAGCGAAUCUCAAAAAGCCGGUCUCAGUUCGGAUUGGGGUCUGCAACUCGACCCCAUGAAGUCGGAGUUGCUAGUAAUCGCAGAUCAGCAUUGCUGCGUGAAUACGUUCCGGGCCUUGUACACACGCCCGUCACGUCACGAAGUCGUACACCCGAGGCGUGCCACCCUUGUGGAGGAGCUGUCGAAGGUGGGACUGCGAUGGACAAGUCGUACAGG
rnacentral:rRNA from 1 species